GUCUGCAACACCACUAAGCAAGCGGCAUCAUGAAGACCAAGGAGCUCUCCAAACAGAUGUCAGACAGAGACAGACAGCAGUAUACAGGCAGCUGUGGUGAUGGUGAUGUCACUGCUGAAGUGUUUGCUGCUGUUCUUCUUCUCAUUCAAUGAAUUGACCACAGCAGCAGGAAUCCAAAGAUGACUUCAGCUACCACCUUCCUGUUUCUUUGCGAUCUAUUUGGCCUGUAUCAGAGCUGGAAAUUCCUCUGAGAUUAUGUACAAAUCACCAACCAUGAGUUCCAGUCCUGAGAAUGGAAUGUUUCCUGUUAAGUGUCCGAUGACAGUCACUUUGGCACUCAGGUCAUUCUGAUUGAGGCAUCUGUUUCUUCAUAAUCUACUGAUGAUGGCAGCCUUUAAGCUAUGUACAAAUCACCAACCAUGAGUUCUAGUCCUGAGAAUUGCAUCGUGACCAUUUUCUGCAACUCUACAGGCAGGCACCAGAAAGGGUUGAUCUGGUGGUUUGACCAGUUUGGCACAAACUGCACAGGCAGUGCUGAACUUCUGGCCAAAAAGACAGACGACAAACUGUUUAGCCUCUCCAGUAAACUGACAGUUCUGAAGGCUACAUACAGGUGGUUCCACAAACUACUCAUGCACAGUGCACAACACCAAUGGAGUCCAGGAGGGGAAGGCAUCAUUUGAGAUCCCGUUUGUAUGUUCCACAGGUACGUUCUGCCAUCGUGGUCGGUAUACAUGAACGAUGUUUGUGAUGUCAUCCUUUGUAAAAGCAGGGUCAAGUCCAAAACAUGCCAGUCUCUCGUAUUCCCUCAUCCUGACCCUGAUAAUUGUAAACAAUUCAGCCUCAAUCUAGUCUACAUUUAUUAGUAUAGGCCUUUUUACGACGUUUUAUCAUGUGGGAGCACAAUAAAAGUCAGCCUUAUAAUGAGAGAACAACAUGUCACUGAGGAGUGGAGUAGGUCAGGCCGUAAAAUGCUCCUCAAUCUGACUGAACAUCUUCCUUGAAACUGGAAAAAAGAAAAGGAAUGUCUUGGUUUGGGGAAGAAACAUUCCAUGCAUGUUUCAACAGGAAUCCAGAAGCUCUUCGAUGUUUGCUUAACCAAGUCUACUUGUCAUCUGAUGAGCCUAUAGGAAAUUACUAGGUUAAUAAUGAAAUAAUGAUAGUGGAGUUGUAACUACCUGCGCCAGUUGCAAAUUAGAGCUCAUAGUCUCCAAUCUGUCUAAGGCUCCCUCUUGUCACGAUUCAGUGCAGUCAUCAUAAUACCUUCUUACCAGAAUAUUCUGUCUCUGCAGUUGUGGUUCUUUCCUGUGGCAGCCAUUUUGAAUGUUUUUUUUCUGACCUGCCUGGCUGGGAAUUUCCAAAUAAAAAUUAUCCAUCUGAUGCGAAAACGAAUUGUUCUUAGCAAUAGGAAGUACAUUAAGAUUAUAUUUAGAUUAGAAAAGAGCUCUAGUCUGUGUGUUUUAUUUUAAGAUAUCAAAAUAAUCCGAAAAAUUACUCCGCUGGAAAUUAAGUUGGAACAAGUGAAAUUACCUGAUACUGACUUUGACCAAUCAUAGUUAACCAUUUCCUCUGGAUUUGAUAUUUUAGAAAAAUAUUGGAACUUCUAUUUAGUAGAAAUUACAUUGAAUUUUGGUUGACUGAAUGCAGGUCUACUGGAAUAUAUUUGUAAAAAUAAUCCAUCUGAUUUCAUUUGUUCAGCUUCUAUCUCAAGGCCAUCAGACUGUUAAACAGCCACCACUAACAGUGAGUGGCUGCUGCCAACACACUGACUCAA